rnacentral:lncRNA from 1 species
AUGGGACUAAAUGCCCAAGUGGAAAUAAGCAAACGUGGGUCAGGAGCUGGUUCCUGUGUCCGAGGAAGUAGGAGCAGAGCCGGUCAUGGUGCUGCCAACGAGGGCGCCAGGGGCCAGGAUGCUGUGGCCGACCCAGGGCAGCAGAGUGACUCAGUCACCCGCACAAUGACCUCACCAGGAGGGGCCACAACCCACCCUCGGCCUCAGCGGACCCUGCUCCGAGAGCAAAAACCAGAAAGGUCUAGAUGCAGAGGCCUCAGCUUUGUGACGUGUCCGGCUGCCUUGGAAAACCCUGACCGGGGUUAAAUCCGCAUGGUUUUGAACGAGGGCUGUGAGCCGGCUCUGGUGGCCUCGCACCCAAGAGAAGAAUGCAAGCCCUGAACCUGGAACUCAGGUGAGCAUUUUAGAAACCUGGUGCCUUGGGCAGCCCCGGUGGCCCAGCGGCUUAGCGUCACCUUCAGCCCGGGUCGUGAUCCUGGAGACCCGGGAUCGAGUCCCGCAUCGUGCUCCCAGUGCAUGGAGCCUGCUUCUCCCUCUGCCUGGGUCUCUACCUCUCUCUCUCUCUCUCUCUCUCUCUCUCAUGAAUAAAUAAAUAAAAUCUUAAAAAAAAAAAGAAAGAAAGAAAGAAAGCUGGCACCUUGAUGGGCCUGCCGGGAGGAGGCCAACACGAAGCCAGAGGCUGGGGGCAGGAAGGGCUGGGGAGGAGGCAGAGGCCGGCGGCUCCGGCGCGGCUGAUGGGUCUCAUAGAGGAGAUGUCGUCGAAGUGUUACCUUUUGCAUUUUCCCCUUCACCACGAACUUAAUAACUUUAUUUUCACUGCAGCUCCAUCAAUUUUAGUUGGGAUGUGCAAUGAUUCACUUCCCCAGAGAGUUUGCAUAAUACGUAUCCUGCAGGUUUCAUUUCUGUAAAUCACUGCUUUUCGGGGAGAAGGGGGGGUGGAUGCCAGGCAGGCUCCAGCCCCCGGGUAAGUUUUGAGACGGAAAGGAGAUUGCAUAUCCUGAUUGCUAAGCUAUCUCUGCUGUUCACGGAGAAAUUAUUUUCCCUGUAACACUCCCGUUUGUAUAUUCGAUAAAGUUAAUAUCUGUGAAAUCACUUGAUUCUCACCGCACUCAAUUAUCCCGAAACAGACAGAAGAUUGACUUCCUGGUAUCGACAGGAGAGAACUCUCAAUGUCUUUUGACUUAUUAUGUCUGGCAGUUGGAAAGAAUCACAAUAACACAUAAAAUCACUUCACAGGGUAUGUUUAGAGAGCAAAGAAAAAUUAAGGAGGGACGGACUCUUAGGGUAUUUUUGCCUUUUGACGGAGGUUUCUAUGUCCUGUCAAGCACUUUCUCCGAAAUGAACUGGAGGCACACAGUGUAAAUUGAUUUAUCCGCACCUCAAGAAAUACCUGAGGUUUAAUUGCCUCUGCAAUAUUUAUGCUUACAUAAAUAAUUCAACGGCAAAUUAAUCCAGCUUUUGUAAUUACCUCCCGCGGAGGCACAUGGCUCGGGCCCAAGGACUUAAUUGCGGCUUGAUGAAGGUAUUUAGGUCACUACAACCAAUAAACCAUAUAGAAAUUCUCGAAGCCAUAAAGGAAAGAAAUCCAUAGCUCUCAGGCCUACGCUCUCAGGAAGAAAUACAGUAUUUGUGGUUGAUCCGACCCGCUGCGGGCUUAGGAGGCAGAGCUCUGCUAACGAGUGUUCUAAAAACACGUUGUUUUCAGCCUCAUCCGUGAGCUCCCGGCACACUGGACCCUUAAACCCGCGGCUGGGGGACGCCCCUCUCCGGUCAGCGUGUGUCCCACGUCAGCGGGUCCAGACAGCUGUGUCCUCCGCCUAUUCCCUUCUUCAUCUGCAGGCAGCCUGUGCCGGGCCUCAUCUCUUGUGCUCACUGUCUUCUUGUCCCCAGAGCCAAAGCUCUAGCCCUGGACACAGCUUUCGGGGUGAGGGCAGGCAGGCGAACCCACUGCAGGCAUCUUUUGGUGGUAACUUGCUCUUUUUCCAGAAAUGCAUAUUUAAAAAGCCAGGAAACACACACCUCCCCCAAAAUAAAGAUAAAACACGCCCCCUGCCAUUUGCUAGUUGGAAUGGUAACUAAAAUUACCGUCGAAUGUUAAGUCUUAUUCACCAGUGCGGUGGCUUUAUCUGCGAUCGUGUCCCUCACUGAACUGGGAAGGGAGCAGAGUAAGUCGCAUGGCUAAGGAAGCACAGGUCCCAAGGGGUCGCCCAGUUAUCUCCAUGGGAACAAACUAAUGAUUUACAGAGCGAAGCCCAAACGCGGAUCUUCUCAUCGACCGGCGUGCGCUGUGAGGGGAGGGACUUGGUUCGCUGCUCUCCGCCCAGACCUAGAACAGGGUCUGCGCACAGUAGGUUCUCAGGAAAUAUGUGGGCAAAUGGAUGGAUUGUGAGUCCCGUGUGCUUCGCUCCGCACCCCGUCGUCUUCCCGGGCAAUGGGAUCCUUGCACGCUCUGUUAUCCUCCCACACGCAGCCUGUCCUUCAGAUUUAGGGGAUCAUCACCUACACUUCACACCAACACCGACAACUCCGUCUAAAGUCUGCCUGCGUGACUCUGCUCACAUUGGAUUAUCUCACAAGUGAGCAUCU